GCCGGGCUAGCUCAAUCGGUAGAGCGUGUGGCUCUUAUGAGACUUUCAUAGGAUCCGUAGAUCACCACAAGGCUGCGGGUUCGACCCCCGCGUUCGGCU